UACGUAGGUGGCAAGCGUUAUCCGGAAUUAUUGGGCGUAAAGCGCGCGCAGGUGGUUUCUUAAGUCUGAUGUGAAAGCCCACGGCUCAACCGUGGAGGGUCAUUGGAAACUGGGAGACUUGAGUGCAGAAGAGGAAAGUGGAAUUCCAUGUGUAGCGGUGAAAUGCGUAGAGAUAUGGAGGAACACCAGUGGCGAAGGCGACUUUCAGGUCUGUAACUGACACUGAGGCGCGAAAGCGUGGGGAGCAAACAGG
rnacentral:rRNA from 1 species